rnacentral:rRNA from 1 species
UGCAGUCGAACGGUGAAGCAGAGCUUGCUCUGUGGAUCAGUGGCGAACGGGUGAGUAACACGUGAGCAAUCUGCCCCUGACUCUGGGAUAAGCGCUGGAAACGGCGUCUAAUACCGGAUAUGAGCUGCGGCCGCAUGGUCGGCAGUUGGAAAGAUUUUUCGGUCAGGGAUGAGCUCGCGGCCUAUCAGCUUGUUGGUGAGGUAAUGGCUCACCAAGGCGUCGACGGGUAGCCGGCCUGAGAGGGUGACCGGCCACACUGGGACUGAGACACGGCCCAGACUCCUACGGGAGGCAGCAGUGGGGAAUAUUGCACAAUGGGCGGAAGCCUGAUGCAGCAACGCCGCGUGAGGGAUGACGGCCUUCGGGUUGUAAACCUCUUUUAGCAGGGAAGAAGCGAAAGUGACGGUACCUGCAGAAAAAGCGCCGGCUAACUACGUGCCAGCAGCCGCGGUAAUACGUAGGGCGCAAGCGUUAUCCGGAAUUAUUGGGCGUAAAGAGCUCGUAGGCGGUCUGUCGCGUCUGCUGUGAAAACCCGAGGCUCAACCUCGGGCCUGCAGUGGGUACGGGCAGACUAGAGUGCGGUAGGGGAGAUUGGAAUUCCUGGUGUAGCGGUGGAAUGCGCAGAUAUCAGGAGGAACACCGAUGGCGAAGGCAGAUCUCUGGGCCGUAACUGACGCUGAGGAGCGAAAGGGUGGGGAGCAAACAGGCUUAGAUACCCUGGUAGUCCACCCCG